UACAGAGGUCUCAAGCGUUGUUCGGAUUCAUUGGGCGUAAAGGGUGCGUAGGCGGCGCGGUAAGUCGGGUGUGAAAUCUUGGAGCUUAACUCCGAAACUGCAUUCGAUACUGCCGUGCUUGAGGACUGGAGAGGAGACUGGAAUUUACGGUGUAGCGGUGAAAUGCGUAGAUAUCGUAAGGAAGACCAGUGGCGAAGGCGGGUCUCUGGACAGUUCCUGACGCUGAGGCACGAAGGCCAGGGGAGUAAACGGG
rnacentral:rRNA from 1 species